AGCGAACGCUGGCGUCAUGCCUAACACAUGCAAGUCGCGCGGUCAGCAAUGGCAGCGGCGGACGGGCGCGUAACGCGUAGGAACGUGUCUUGAGGUGGGGGACAACCCUGGGAAACUGGGGCUAAUACCGCAUAUGGGCUGAGGCCCAAAGCCGUGAGGCGCCUUUGGAGCGGCCUGCGUCCGAUUAGCUUGUUGGUGGGGUAAUGGCCUACCAAGGCUCCGAUCGGUAGCUGGUCUGAGAGGACGAUCAGCCACACUGGGACUGAGACACGGCCCAGACUCCUACGGGAGGCAGCAGUGGGGAAUAUUGGACAAUGGGCGCAAGCCUGAUCCAGCAAUGCCGCGUGGGUGAGGAAGGUCUUCGGAUCGUAAAGCCCUUUCGACAGGGACGAUGAUGACGGUACCUGUAGAAGAAGCCCCGGCUAACAUCGUGCCAGCCGCCGCCGUAA
rnacentral:rRNA from 1 species